UGUCCCUAAAAUAUUGGUCAUAUGCCUUUCAAACAGCCACAUAUUUUAAAUAGAUGCCUACACCCCUUUUAAAAAACAAAUCAUCAUUUGAAACAUUGUCCGGUACCACUCCAAAUUAUUUAAAACUCUGACAAUUUGGUUGUAUGUGUUUUCCUUAUACUAGGCCCUACAAUCUUCAUAAGCUUGAGCCCAAAUCCACGCCCUGUGUGUUCAUAGGUUAUUCUCAAAACCAAAAUGCCUAUCAAUGCUAGGACCUUAAAACCUCUUGUGUCUAUCUGAGUAAACAUGUUCUAUUUGCAAAAGAUAUUUUUUCCCUGACCUCUCAAGAACCUCAACAUGAUCCCAAAGAUUCGCUCCCAAUAGCAAGGCUUUUCCCGUCCCAGCCCGGGCUACUUCUCGUCUUCCUCAAGUCGCAUAUAACCCAACCUCCGGUGAAGCUGCAAGUGAAUCUGGAUGCAAAGAUUGAUGUUGUCUCUGCACCUCCUCAUGGUAUGUCCUCUCCAUCAUCUCCUAAUCUAAAUUCUUCGUGCUCUUCUAGUGAUGGCCUGAAUAAUUCAUUCACUAGUUAUCCUAAAUCUGAUCCAUCCAGAACUCUUUUGUUCCUUUAGAUUCACCACAUUCAUCACCUAUAUCUUUACCACCGUCCCCACCUAGGACACAUUCCAUGACCACUAGAUCUAUGAACAAUAUAUAUAAAUCUUGCUACAAAACGUCCCAUACGUCAUACCCUAGAACCAACAUGUGUGACCCAAGCUCUUCAAAAUCACCAUUGGCGUACUGCUAUGUCUAAGGAGCUCACUACACUUAUGCAACAUGGUACUUAGGACUUGGUUCGUGCUCCUAUGGGUUCCAAUUUAAUUGGUUGUAUAUGGGUAUUUCGUGUAAAGCGCAAACCUGAUGGGACCAGUGAUAGACUUAAAGUCAGCUAGUGGGAAAAGGCUAUAAUCAGGCCCGGGACUUGACUACAAGGAGACAUUCAAUCCGGUUGUUAAACCAGCUACCAUCCACACUAUUUUAUCUAUUGCUGUGAUGCAAGGAUGCUUGCGACAACUUGAUAUUAUCAAUUCAUUCCUGCACAGUACACUCACAGAGGAUGUUUAUAUGUCACAACCACCUGGGUUUAGAGAUUUUUAAUAUCUAGACUAUGUGUGCAAGUUGUGCAAAGCUAUAUAUGGUCUCAAGCAAACCCUGUGGGUAUGGUACUUCGCCUUUAAAGAAGCCUUGCUUAGUUUAUAUAUCAACUCUAAAGCAGAUACCUUCUUGUUUAUAUAUCAUUCUAGCUCAUCAUAUCCUAUUUUCUUGUCUAUGUAGAUGACUUGAUAAUUAUCGAAAAUGACUCACUCUUUGUAUCCAAGAUAGUAAAACAGCUUGGGACACAAUUCUCUCUCAAAGAUUUGGGCAAUUUGCAUUUUUUCCUCAGUGUGGAAGUGAUACCCACAAGUAGUGGUUUAUUUCUAUCUCAACACAAGUACAUCCGAGACCUUCUAUAUAAAACAAGUAUGGAGGGUGCCAAAGAUGUUACCAUACCACUAUCUACAUCAGUUCCCUUGAAACUCUGUGAUAGUACUUCUAGUAUGGACAACAACUCAUAUAGGCAGGUUAUUGGUUCUCUACAGUAUUUAUGUAUGACCCGUCUCUAUAUUAGUUAUGCAAUAAACAAAUUAUCACAUUUUAUGUACAAACUGACUGUGACUCAUUGGGCUACAGUUAAGAGAUUGUUAAGGUAUUUGAAAAAUACCAUCUUUCAUGGCCUUCAGAUCAAUUCUUCCGCUAAACUAGUGCUUUGAUCUUUCUCUGAUGCUGAUUGGGUGGGGAAUCUUGAUGACCGCAGCUCCACCUCUACAUAUGCAAUUUUCCUAGGCUGCAAUCUCAUCUGCUGGAGUUCUAAGAAGCAGCGCUUUAUUGCUUGUUCUUCCACUGAAGCCGAAUAUCGAGCCCUUGCUAGCACUACUUCUGAAACUGUGUGGCUCCUUUCUCUCUUAAUGGAACUUGGAUUUCCUCUUCAAGGGUCACCAACACUUCUUUGUUACAAUCUUUGGGAAACCAAUUAAGUCUUAACCCGGUCCAACAUACUCGGAUGAAACACAUCCAGAUUGAUCUCCACUUUCUCAGUGAUCUAGUACAACAAUGCAAACUUCAAGUUCAGCAUGCUAAUACACACAAUCAGUUGGCUGAUCUCCUUACAAAACCUCUUUCUCGUCAUCGAACUGUACUCUUACGGAACAAGCUUGGAAUCGUCGAUGGCGGCUCCAUCUUGGGAGGUGUAUUAAGGAAGAAAAUUCAGCCAAGAAUCCAGCCUAACCAGCAAGCAAUCAGAAAGCUAAAUCAGCUAGCAAACAGGAGGCCAAAAAUCAUGUAAUCAGCAAAACAUCAAGAUAAAACAGCGAGCAAUCAGGAAGCAAAAUCAUGUAAUCCGCAAGACAUCAGGACACCAACUGUUAGCUGAAAUCAUGGCUGUGACUAGGAGCAAAAUUGUAGAGUAAUCUUCUGUAUAUUCUAUACUUAGAACAUGAUGUAAUGUGUAUAUAUAUCCAUACAAUAGUGAAUGAAAAUGUGUAGCUUCUCUACAAUUUAUGUGCAGCCUGAAAUUCUCUUUAAGGCCUACUUUUCUCUUUAACAGUCAGAAAAUCAAUUCUCAUAAUCACUAUUGAACAUGCCCUUUAUAUUUUC
rnacentral:lncRNA from 1 species